UCGACUCUGGAACAGUAUUUUAUUGAGACUGAUUAAUAUGGCAAUGAGUUGAUGGCGUGAUGUUUGUGAAAUGUUAAAACGGACGCGUUUAUACGAGCUGAGACAAAAGAAUUUAGUGUAAACAUGUGUUUCACAUAAUCUUUCGUGGGACCAAAUUUCGGCCACUUAAUCUGAGUGACACCACUGGGAGCGAAUAAUGCCGGGGCAACAAUAAAGCAUCUAUAAUCACCCCAGAUGUUCUCUUCCUUACAUUCGGGUCACAGUCGACUGGGAGUCGCGACGUGCCGAUAACAAAACCGUCAGCUCUAACCUUAACGUGCUCUUUUUCACUGAUUUCUCCAUUCAUCGGCGGUCCAAUGCAGAUGGUCGGUUCCGACUUACCCUUGGAAUUCGUAUGUAGUUGUGCGACAGUGUUUAGUGGAAGCGGCGGAUAUACCUAGUCGAGUAAUGGUAAAAAAAGGGGGGGUAGACGUCUGCAAUGAAUUUAGUGGCCACUCAUAAGUACUCAGGAAUUCGCCCAAUAUUAUGGAAUCAGAUCGGAAUGUGAAAUUGGACAUCUCUGAAUGUUGGACACGUGAUCUACUUGGGAUGCGACAAGGAACAACCAUGCUGCUGAUUUUUUUAUAUACGCAUUUAUGUAUCUUAUUUAUUAAAUACAGUGAGUCUCAAAACUCCUGAUACACUAUUAAAAUAUUCAUUUAAAGCCAUAUUCAUAUUUAAAACCAAUUUUCUUUCUGCUGAAAUUUAUUUUUUUUAACACUAUAAAUAUAUAAUUUUUUUAAACACAAUCCAACUUGCAAAUAGAUGUUAAGGUUACAAAAAAAUUAAACAAUAUUUUAAAUUUUAAAAAUGAAUGUUUUGUAAGCCCGCGUUAUAAGUCUAUAACCGCUUGGAAUCUCUCGACAUAGAUAAAACUAAAGUUUCAGUUAUGCUUGAAAUAAUUUCAGCCCAUGCUGACUGUAAAGCAGUGUAAUAUGUAGACUUUUGUGACUCGCUGUAUGUCAAAUAAAAUUAACAUAUUCAUUUUUUUCCUGAAACUAUUUAUUUAAAUCCCUUGUCCCCUUUUCAUAUUUUAAAACUGAAGUAUUAAAAAUUAAUUAAAAAAUUUAAUGUUAUUCUCAAGGGCAAGGUCCUAGUUAAAAAAACAUGUUCAGUAUUACUAGAGAUAUAGUGGCCUAUAAUACAGGAACUUAUGAAGCAACUAUGAAAAAAAUUCGCGGUUUUCGAUAAUAAGUUUGAAUGAAGCAUUUUUACGGGAGUAUUUUCUCAAAAUAAUGUCUAGACCCACUAAAUAUUCAUUCAAAAAGGAGUUUAGUGUGUGGAUGUCGUUCUUACAAAGAAAAUUGAGCAAGGUGCAGCUUAGUGGAAAGGCAUGCCUACGAAAAUGUAGCCACUUGAGGGGCAUCAAUUUUUACCGUUAUAGGGCCGCUAUAAUAUUAUUUAAUACCUAUAUGUUAUACAGCAAGAUUUAUUUGAUUUUUAUUAUAUUUUUUCCUUUUCAAUUAGCCAAACGAAAGUGAUUAAACUAGGAAGUUAUUUGAAACAUGUCAUAACGGCAGGUACCCUAAAAUUUACCACGGUCUUUUGCUAUCGACUAGAUUGCAGUAGCUGGUUGCUGUUCGUUGUUCAUUUGGUGAACUUCGAGAAGCCAUGCAUAUUUCACCCAAUGACCUGCACUUUGCGCCAUUUUCUUUCUAAACAACGAUUUCCACACACAUAACUCGUUUUCUAAGAACAUUUAACGUGAUAGGUGUAGAUCACAUUUCCUGUAUUAUCGUUAGUUAUAGCAGAACCUCCAUAUCUGCACUCGCUAAAUGCUUGAACACCUUAUAAUUAAGACUCAACUUUACGAAACGUGAUAAAAUGUUUUGUGCACUUGUAACACAUCACUGAAUUGAAGAAAAUUUUACGCUCUUUCCAAAAAUCGAAAAAUUCAAUAUGGCCAUCACAAAAAAAAAGAAAGUAACGCCGGUUGCGAGAUAACAACAGGCGGUGGAGAUGUCAUACACGCCAUCUUAAUCAUCUUAAAAAAAUGUCUUAAUAAUGUCACAUUUUGACAGCUGUCCAUUUAACCCUUUUGGAUUUACUGACGAAAAACGCGAUCCUCCAUUUUCAGUUUUUCGCCGAUAUUUCCCAAACUAAUUGACCGAUCUUAAAUCUAAAGCCGGUUAUCAAAUGCACUAAGUUUCCUCUAAAACUUUCCCCACCUAUUCGU